UACGAAGGGGGCUAGCGUUGUUCGGAAUUACUGGGCGUAAAGGGCGCGUAGGCGGUGCCUCAAGUCAGGCGUGAAAGCCCCGGGCUCAACCUGGGAACCGCGCUUGAGACUGGAGUACUAGAGUUCGGGAGAGGAUGGUGGAAUUCCCAGUGUAGAGGUGAAAUUCGUAGAUAUUGGGAAGAACACCGAUGGCGAAGGCAGCCAUCUGGACCGACACUGACGCUGAGACGCGAAAGCGUGGGGAGCGAACAGG
rnacentral:rRNA from 1 species